GAGAAGCUGCCGUCGCGUCUUGUCCCGCCGUCACCGUCGCUGCCCUAGAGCUCGCCCACCAUCGUCAUUAAGGGGCCAGCAGAGAGAAAGAACGAACGUGGGUCAAGGUCGUCACCAGGAAGAAGAGCUAUGCUCCAUGCCACCGUCGCCACUAGUCCACGGCCACCACUGCGAGGGUUCCGCCGUCGUCGUUCUAGUGCCGCCAUUCAUGCCCUCCGUUUCCUUCGUCGUUCUGUCCAGCAUCACCAGCACUGAAAUCAGCUUUUACCACCAACAAGUCUGAAGGGAAGCGCCACUGCUAUUGCCCAACAGUAGCUUCCCCUGCGUUCCCAAUUCCAUUCCUAAAACUGUAACACUCUUGCUCAUGCUCUGUUUCCCGAAUCUAUUUCUCUACCAUAUCUUGUUUUGAUUACAAUAACUAUAUGUUAAUGUCUCUGUUUAGUGUUAUCAUCCUUAUCCGGAACCACUGAUGUCACUGCUAUAGAAGUGAUUAGGAUAGGUGCGAUUGUCAUUGUUGUUGCUGCCCCAGAAGAAGUGAGGCUGCUACUACUGUUCUGGCCAUAUUGGCUGUUGUAAACUGGGAAAAAGAAGGGGAUCGUUGCGUUUAAAUUCGACGGUUUUGACUAAUUAAGUGACACAGGUUCGAAGACUCAGUUUGAAGCUGCGGGCGAUUCUAGAACUUAUUUACGAGUUAAUUGUAUGAGUUAAUUUGCUUUCAUAGAGUUCCCU